AUGAACGCUGGCGGCGUGCCUAAUCCCUGCCAGUCGAGCGAACGGACGAGAAGCUUGCCUCUCUGAUGUUAGCGGCGGACGGGUGAGUAACACGUGGAUAACCUACCUAUAAGACUGGGAUAACUUCGGGAAACCGGAGCUAAUACCGGAUAAUAUUUUGAACCGCAUGGUUCAAAAGUGAAAGACGGUCUUGCUGUCACUUAUAGAUGGAUCCGCGCUGCAUUAGCUAGUUGGUAAGGUAACGGCUUACCAAGGCAACGAUGCAUAGCCGGCCUGAGAGGGGGAUCAGCCACACUGGAACUGAGACACGGUCCAGACUCCUACGGGAGGCAGCAGUAGGGAAUCUUCCGCAAUGGGCGAAAGCCUGACGGAGCAACGCCGCGUGAGUGAUGAAGGUCUUCGGAUCGUAAAACUCUGUUAUUAGGAAAGAACAUAUGUGUAAGUAACUGUGCACAUCUUGACGGUACCUAAUCAGAAAGCCACGGCUAACUACGUG
rnacentral:rRNA from 1 species